rnacentral:rRNA from 1 species
UACAGGGGGUGCGAGCGUCAUUCGGAAUUAUUGGGCGUAAAGAGCGUGUAGGCGGUUUCUUAAGUCUGAUGUGAAAGCCCCGGUCUCAAGCCGGGAAGUGCAUCAGAUACUGGGAGACUAGAGUACAGGAGAGGUUGGCGGAAUUCCUGGUGUAGAGGUGAAAUUCAUAGAUAUCAGGAGGAACAACAGAGGCGAAGGCGGCCAACUGGACUGUAACUGACGCUAAGGCGCGAAAGCGUGGGGAGCAAACAGG